UAACCACCGUAAGCAAUCGUACUCUUGAGAACCAGAACCACUUCUGCUCUUGAAGUGGGACCUGUCGUUUGAGAGCUGAUACGAGAGGACUGCUCCAGGGUUGUAGACACAAGAUCCGCCACCUCACCUCGAUAUCGCGGUUUUGCAGAGACAGAUCGAUCGGCCUGGAAUCUUCCCGCGGUCUUCUGGUGGACGCCCUGUGAAGUGUGGAGUGCACGAAUAGAGCCAUUUUACAAACCGUGGCCCCUCAGAGACAUUUCGAUGUGGUGGACAGGGCACCUGUCUUGUUCCGGGGGCCCGCACCGGGCCAUGAUGGAAGGAAACAACGGUAACAGGUAGCUAAAAAUGCGCCGAUACUUCUGGGAGGUAGCAAGCACGCAGAACGACGCCCAUUUCCCUCGGGGGCGGACGGAGUCAUUGUGACGACAGUUCGUCGGAGUUAUAUCUUUUCGUCAGCUGUGAAUCCGGUGGCAAGAAUCGAUCAACUCCUCAAAACGGCGGUGCCCAUCAGAUAAACUUGCUCCCAGAGCACUUUCACUGCUCAUGUGUUUGUCACCCUAAGUAGGAGAUCUUGACGAACACCGGAGCUCGCUGACAAGCAUACCGUGUGGGACGUCUUUUGGUUUCAGCGUGUCCAGGUACAUCAAAUCCUGUUCACCGACAAAGCGAAAUGGUCCUCCAGCAGCUGUUUGUUGCACAGUCAACCCGAGACUUCUUUAAAGUUUAAGGAUCACGAGCGUUGUCCCCGACUGUUCGAUAGUGGGCGAAUAAGCUCGAGAUGCGUCCGCUGCCUUUCACUUGUCUAUCAGUAGGUAUCUUGACGAGAGGUUGUCGGGAAGGCAGGACACAAUUUGGGACUUGACAAUGGAAACCAACUCGUCCUGCGAAUGCCGUUCCUUACAGGCACUUUCUUACAUGCGUAUCCUCGACUGAGGGGUCACUCGCCACCAGCGGCUUUUACCCUACAUGAGUUCGCGGCUGACCUGUGUCGUUCCAAGCGGUGAGCAUAGGGGAAGUGUUCUCUAUCCUUACCACGCGCUGGGGGAAGGGAAGAGAUGCAUCUCCGCCUAUAAUCUGGAAAAAGGCAGGCGUGAGCAAACAUUGCUUAGCACACGAAUGUUAAUAAGAGCUCAAUUCAUGGCUGGUUCCUAACUUGACCACUUUAACUUAAAGGCUUUUCCUGGAUGCA
rnacentral:lncRNA from 1 species